rnacentral:tRNA from 1 species
GCCGGUUUAGCUCAUUUGGUAGAGCACCUGACUUGUAAUCAGGGGGUGGCGGGUUCAAGUCCUGCAACCGGCACCA